rnacentral:rRNA from 1 species
UACGUAGGGUGCGAGCGUUAAUCGGAAUUACUGGGCGUAAAGCGUGCGCAGGCGGUUUUGUAAGACAGGCGUGAAAUCCCCGGGCUCAACCUGGGAAUUGCGCUUGUGACUGCAAAGCUGGAGUGCGGCAGAGGGGGAUGGAAUUCCGGGUGUAGCAGUGAAAUGCGUAGAUAUGCGGAGGAACACCGAUGGCGAAGGCAAUCCCCUGGGCCUGCACUGACGCUCAUGCACGAAAGCGUGGGGAGCAAACAGG